UUUGUAGAUAAUUAAGAUCAUUUGCUAUUAAUUUUCUCAUUGUUAAUAACAGAGUAAAAUAUACUAUCUGAUUUAUGGUCCCUAUUAUUCAUACAAAUAGAAUAUUCAAUGAAGUAAUAUCGUUUUCUACAUUAUUUUGAUGACAGAUGGAUUUGUCUAAUACCACCGUCAAGUUAUUAACGAAGUCUUUUACUUCGACUUGUACUUGAUAUUUCAUUCUACUUAUCAAUAAAGUGAAUUAAAUAUCUUAUAAGUGAAACGCUGUAGAUGUGUACUACUCUAUAAAUAUCCAAGAUUUGUCAACUUGACCGCAUUUUGACCUCAGGAUGUUCGGUCUUUUAUCAUAUCGACUGACGAAUUCUGAUCGUUAAUGAAUACUUGAGAAAGGGUAAUUUAGAAACGAAGUUUUAUCAUACGACAGUAACAACACCAUACAAAAAUGUUUGUCGCUGGAAGUCUCAAGUUGGGAGACAAUGUUUGCUGGAAUAUUUUACAAUCUGAGUCUUCUGUAGUCUCCAAAUAAGAGACUCUGGGAGUCUCAAAGAGAUCAUCCGAAACACAAGUGACUGUUGACCUCUUAGGUGGAGAUAGAAAGACUUAGGAAGAUUCAGAAAAACUCUGAGAGCCUUCCAAAGAAUCUCAAAGACCUCGAGAGACUUGAAUUUUUCGUCUCGGAUCGAGGAUGCCGAUAUAUUUGAAAAUGAAAUAAAAAUAAUAAUAUCGACCUUGAAAGGUAUGGAAUCAGUGUUGAAGGAUACCAAACUUAGGGGACGAUGUUAUCAUUCUCAGCUUAAAGAUCCUACGCUAUUAGUAAUCGAAGACUUGGCGCCAUUAGGUUUUCGUAUGACCGAUUACCAAGUUGGCUUUGAGCUUCCAUCACUGCACUCUGGCGUUACAGAGAUUAGCUAAAUUUCACGCAAGUUCCAUGGACGUUGCUAAAUUUUUUACGGACGCAAUGAAUUCUAUGAUAAAAACAGCUGAAACGUGGUCAGAGUUGAGGGUAGAAUGCAGAGAAAAAAUAAAAAAAUUGUCGAAUACUGUUUUUCCUAAAGCAUGUGAAAUAGCUAAACUCAAGGAAUCGGAAUGCAAUGUACCAAACCAUGGAGAUGACUGGGUCAAUACUAUGUUGUUCAAAUAUAACGACAGAGGGACUGUUGUGAAUUAUGUUUUCGUUGAUUUUAAAAUGUGUUAUGACGGAACUCCUGUAAUAGACCUUCAGUAUUUCUUCAAUACAAAUGAUUCUGAAGAAGUGUUGGCACUGGACUUCAUAAAAAUUUACUGAUUGAAUAAUAUGUAAAAAUUCUUUCUACGACAAUGAAAAACAUUGGAUACAAAACUUGCCCGCCGAGUCUGAGUUACAUAAAAAAAUAUAUAUUGAAAACAAAACUAUUGGUUUCGUAGUAGCUUGCACAGCUCUUCUAAUCAUGAUGACUGAUAAGAGUCAAGCAAAAGGCCUUGAAGAAUUGAUGAGUAUGGGUAAUGCUGAUUUUUAUGCAGAUGCUUACAAAAACGAAUCUUUUAAAAUAAAAAUAGUAUCAAAAAAUUAUUA